rnacentral:lncRNA from 1 species
AAAGACAACAGCCUCUUCCUCGUACAGUCUCCUAGCCCCGCCGGAACCAUCGCCGGUGGGAAGCGCAACCUAUGUCGUUGGCCACCAAAUCAACGCCAUUGAUACCCCUUCCUCUCCUCUUUCCAACCCCCACACCAUCAUCUCGCGAACUUCCCCCAGGCCGUCGAUUAUCUAUUUGAAGAUUUUUCGGCCACGACGUCAACUAUUUCAAAUCGCUCCAAACUUACACCAUUGACUCUCCUAACUUCCCUCAACCCAAAUAUAUGAACAUCUUGUCUCAAAUCUGGGUGGAAGUGCUCGAAUUUUAGUUUGAAAUUUCCAGCCAAAAUCCUAGGCGCUUUUAAGUACUCCAAAUUGAUGCAACGUGAUCUUCCGUCUUGCCUCGUGACGAAUUCAACGUUAGUAGCCAUUGAAUGCCAUUGAAGUUGGUCAAAUCUUAUAACAUGUGAGUUCCUCACAGUUUUUCUAUUUUUUUCUUUGUGUUAUUAUUUGACUCGAAUGCAGUUUUAUCUUCUCGGGUUAAUAAUUGCAGAUUGUUCUUGUUGCCUCUCGAAUUUCUGUUAACUGAUAAAUUUGGCAUUAGCUAGCAAUUAGUCUUGAUCAAUAAUUGGUUUAGUUUAGAUUUGUGAUGAUUAGGUCAAUGUUGUUGAUGAGUUCAAUUCUCCUUUAGUUAGUUAAUUGUUCCGCUUUGAGUUAGUUGUCAGUAAUGGUUCAUUAAUAAGUUAACCGUUCUUCAUUUGUUAGAAUAGUUCAAUUUGUUUUUUUUACUGAAUUUGUGAUAAUCAUUUGUUGGGUUGUUUGGAUUGUUGAUAGUAAUUGGGAGUUUGAAGAUUGUUAUUUAAUUGGAGAUUGGAUUAACCUUAGUUAAGUUCACCAAAGAUAGAGAAUUUAGAAAGUUAAGAUAGUAAUUGCAAAUAAAAGUUUAGGGGCAUUAUGGGUAAUUGACAUUGAACUUGAAAGUUGUAGGUUAGAGUAGAAAGCCCUAUAUCUUCUAGAAUAGGGUCAAGUGUAGGGUUUUAGUAAAUGUAAUGCAUUAACUUGUUACGUAGGUCAGAAAUCAGAGGACCAAAACAAAAUAAAAAAGGGACUAAUAGUGCAAACUGAAAAUCUGAGGGUUGACCCAUCUUUGCCUAUAAAGCAGCCCCAAUGCCAUAAUUCACAAGUUUGGGUAGCCUAAAAUUCCCCCUCUCAAGAUAUUCUACAGACUUCCAUAUCUACAAUUAAUAUUUCAGGUCUGAAAUUCCUUUAAAUCUCAACUUCUUUAAAAAGAAAAACUAAAAACAACAAAAGCUUCAAAAAAAAUGUACUACUAUAGUGUUUUUUAGGCAAAAUUGUUCACUUCCAGUCUCAUCUGUUUGUUGAGGUUCAUUGAAGUUUAUUAGUUUGUUUAUUGGGUUGCUUUGGGUCCAUGCAAAUUGAUUUUGAGUUGAAUUAGUGAAGCUGAUUGGUUUUAAAACAUUUAUGGACCAUCUGGUUGUGAUUUCAAGCUACUAUGAGUUAGUUCAAGCAGUGUUGGAUUGAGUUGCUAGUUUUCUGUUGACUUGUUGAAUAAUUUCUGGAUUUCGAACCUAUUCAUUGGCUGUUGGUUAUUCCAUAACUGUAGGAAAUUGCUUAUUGCUACUACUGUGCUGGGACCGACCUCCUUUGCUUCUAUUUGUGUCAAUUUCCGUGUACUUUUCGGUUUCCUUUGAUGUUGAUGGACUGAAUUUGUGUGUUGGUCGAUUGAAGAAAUAAAAUUCAAGUCUUGUUAACUUAAUGUUGAAUCUGUGCAAUAUCGUGCAAACUGGGAUUUUAGUUGUGUAGCAGUAAUAAUAGAGAAUUGGAUAAUUGAAACACUUUUAUAAUUUGUAGUAAACGAACUAUUGUGGACUAUUGAUUUGAAUCUGUACUCAAUUGUUCUGGAAGAUUUUUAUUAGGAAAUAAUAGUUGAUGCUUGAACACUUACGAGAAUUCAUCUUGUUUAGUAGUUAGUAGUUGAAUUUCAAAAUAAAUUAGACGGUAAUAUUGUCAGUAUAUGGAUGCCACGUUCGUUAGGUUAAGUGGAGUUGAAAAUUAAGUUGAAUUGAGGGUUCAUUUUCACAUUGUGGUUUGGGUAAAAUGUUGACAAUAUUAUUAGUUUUUGAUUGUAUUUGAGUGACUAAAUACUGUAACGGUUAAUGUGUUUUGGAUUUUUGGCUUGGAUCAAUUCAUUAUUAAAGAUUGGGGCUCUGAGGCUUCGAUACGGCAAUUCUGUGCAUGCGCACAUUGGGCAAGCGUAGGCUUCCCUUUGGAACUUUGGAGCACCCUUGCCCAGGCUCUAAAUCUGUUUUGCCCUCAACGGAAACGGGGCUGGUUUACGAGCCUGUUUCUUUGGGCCAGCCAUUUGUGCCCAGUUUAAAAUUCAAUACAUGGUUUACAUAAAAUUUGGGUUUUGAGUUAGGUAGCGGGUUCAAGCUAAAAGGCACCCCCUUUUGUUUGGACCCGGACUUGAACUUGAAGCCCGAAUUUUAGUAUUAAUUAAUUAAUUAAUUAGGUCUUUAUUUUCUUUUAGAGACAAAAAUAAAAACAGAAAAUAUAGUCUCUCUUAGGCUAACACUUUAUAAUAA